rnacentral:lncRNA from 1 species
GAAAACGCCAAGCUUCUAAUCAGGGCUUGGUCUUUCUGGUGACCAGCCCUGUCCAGAAGUCCCCCAAGAGUCACCUCGUUGGAACAAAAGAUGCUCCCAUCACCCAGGAAAUUCUAAGGGCUUUAGGAGCUCUGUGUCAGGGAACACUGGGAGAUCCUGGAGAGCAGCUGAUGACCAACAUUCCUCAAGGGUAGGAGGUUCAGGAACUUGCUCAGUGCCCUGCAGUGAGGACGUGCCAGGGCUGGGACUGGAGGCAGCCAGUGGGCUCCAGAAAAGCCUCACCAACACUCUGGAUGUAAACAUCAGUGAAGAAGUUCCAGUAACCAGCGCAUGAUAGCCCCACACAAUAUGGAUGUGUAUCUGACAGGAGAGCGAUGGAAAGGAACCAGAGAGAACGCAAAAUGUGAUGGAACAGCCUCUGCAGCUGCUAAGGACGCCGAGGUGGUAGUCAUAUGGAAAGGCAAGCACGCGAUUAGCAUGAAUGUCAGCGGAGUGGUUAGCUCUGGGGAAGGGAAGGCCAGCCAGGUUCUGGAAGACCAAAAUGUGUUAUUUCUGGAGCUGGGUGGUGACUUCUUGGGGCUUUGCUUUGUGAUAAGUCAUUGAGCUGUGUGCUUGUUUUGUGCCCUUUUCCAUAUGUGUAUUACAUUUCAAAAUAGGACAGGCUUAAAAAAAGAGGCAGAAACGCUCAGGAAAUGAAGUGUGUCACCCUUCAGAGGAAGGACCUGCCCUUGGAGUGCCACCAGCUGGAGCGGGCAGCGCCUUUGGAUCCAGGGCACCUUCUGCCUUCUCUCUUUACCCACCGGCCUGUCUUCCAGGUUCACCAACAAACUGGUGUUGGUGACACUUAAUUCUCCUGCUGAAUGGGAGGUAGAGCCUGGGGUGAAGCCUGGAGAAGUCAUCCACAGGGAUCCAGGGCCCAGCAAGGGGUCCAGGGCAGGGCAAAGCCAAGACUGUUCCCAGCCAGUUCCCAGGCAGGAUCAGGCAGAGACCAGCAGAGUCAGGCUCCCCUAGAAAUUGCCCCAAUGCAGAUCUGAAGGUGGGUGACACUCUGGCCUGUAAGGACACUCAUGCACAGAUACCAGGCACUUCCCAUGUACCAGGAGCAGUGCUUAGCCCUGGAGCCCAGGCACAAGCAAGACACCAUCCUUGGCUCAAGGGACUCCUGGCUGGUGAAGAUAAUUAUGGAAAACAACCAACCUGGGAACACAACAAAUCCUCUGAAAAUGAGGAAUGGCUGCCAUCUGUCUGGAGGCUCCCUGUGCCGGGCACCAGGCCGGGCAUCUGGGGUGCGUUAGGACUCAUGCUCAUGAGUGACUUUGCAGUGCAGAUAUCUUUAUGUCCAUUUCUGCCAAGGAGGUGAUUGAAUUCUAAGGCUCACUCAAGGUCAAAAAUCAUGGAGGGUCAGACUUGGAACACAGGUCUGUCUGACUCACCUUCCUUCCUCCCAGCUUUGGCUCCUAAUCCUUGCAUGAGGAGCCUCUGAAAGCGCCUUUUGCCAACAGCCAGCAGGGUGGGAGGCCCCAAGUGCACUGAGCAGAGCAUCUUGCCUGUAGCUGAUCUUGGCUAUGACCGCAGGGAAGAAAAGAGAUCCUGUGUUUUGGGGGUGAGGUGUGUGACUGGGGGAAGACAGUCCUGGCAGGGUGGAGGUGGUAGCAGGGGCCACCACUGAGUUCCAUGGCUGAGCUCAUUCUUGGCCUUUAAUCAUAGCCACUGGGUAGCUAGAAUGUCACAUCGUACUGGGGGCAGAGGGCCCAGGUAACUUCCCUCCAGACCAGGGGCAUGGGUGUCUUUCAAAGGAAGCAGGGAGGGCCCUCCAGCCCCGGCUCUCUGGUAGCAACUCGAGAAUAGAUCCUGGCCCUGUGUCCCUGCUGGAGGCUGCCAUUCUGCCAUCUGCUCAGCCUCUUGGGUCUGAAACAGCAUCUUCUGUUGAUACCGGAGCUCACGAAUCAGUCGUCUUCUCACUGUGGCCAGGGCACGCUGAGCAUUUCUCCAGGACAUCCUUCAUCGAUUGGGGAAGUCUUCUGCCUGGAAUGUGCUCCAUCUGCCUGCCUCUCCCUCCUCCUUCAAGGCUCAGCUGAAGUCUCCCUCUGCUGAAGCGUUCUUUGACAACUCGGUCUGGCCCCCCAUUUCUUCACACUUUGCACCCUGUCUUAGGCAAGUUGCAAGGUCCUUCAAAGGCAGGGAGCAGAGACGCACACAGAGCCACUGGAGCAAUGAGGGCAACUGUAAGCCUGCACAGCAGGGUCCCCACGGCACUGCUAGCUCUGAGUUCAGGACUCUACAGCAACACACAGCGGCUCAGGAGCUGCAGGAGCCCACAGCCGCAAUGCUCAUCCUGGCCAGCCUCCCUGGAGUGCCACACCCUGCCCCACCCCAAGGCCCACCGGCCAGAGCCUUGAGGCCUCAAAGCCAUCCCUUCCCUGUCGCCUGGCCCACUGGCAGCUGGAAACAUGCUGAGAGGGAAGGCCAGGGCUCAGGCGGGUCAGGGUCUCUGUGUCAGAUGAAGUCACGGAGGGCACGUGUGAGGCAAGAGGCUGGGGGGGAUGACAGCAAGCCACAAGUGGAGCCCUCGGCUAUGUGGAGCCCCGGAAGGAGUGGGAAAUGGCUGGACUGCAGUGUAGGAGACACCAUGGGAAGGAGGUCGUAGCUAGGACUGCCGGGCUACACUGGGUGUGGGGGUCUGAGCAAUGCGUAAGGCAGGAGGGAAUGUGGGUGUGUGGGCAGGGGACAGGGGUCUGGCUGCAGCCCUCAUCUCCUGCCAAGGCUUUUCCUCUGCCCUUGGGGUAACCCGACACCCAGCCAUACACCUGAGGUGCACGUAAGGGCUGCACCUCACCUGCCUCUCUUGGCUGCUCCAAUUGCAUUUGGAAGGUGUUGCAAAUUGCUCUGUGAUGUUCUGGAGCCAAACCAUGUCCCUGGCCCAUAGCCCAACCCCUGGGGCUUGGCGUCAGUGGCAUUGUCCCUGGAAGACAAGCUGCCUUUGAGGGUUUGAGGGUUUGGAGGGUUUGAAGGCUUUGGUUUGGCGGGCCCCGUCCACAGGGCUCUACCUGGCUGGGUCAAGCAGAAUCAGGGUGGUGAGAGGACACAGCCCUGGGCCACCCAAAGGUGCCCCUGUGAUGAACAAUGUAGAGGUUAGGAGUGUGUGCUCUGGUGUCAGACAGCCUGGGCUCCACUUACAAGCUGUGUGACCUUGGACAACUGACUGAGCCUCUCCGUGCCUCAGUGUUCUCAUCUGUAAAAUGGAACUGGUAAGAGUCCAUACCUCCUAACAGUGUUGUUAAGGUUAAAUGAGCUUAUACAAGUAAGCCACUGAGAGCAUCCCUAACUUGUGUGAGCGUCAUACAAAUGGAAGCCGGAAGCCACUAGGAUAGAAGGCAGAUUCCUCUGAGGGCAGAAUGAGGCCAGCCUCCCCUCUCCUGACCCUCCAGCCCUCUGUGAUCUGCCCCUGCCCAUCAUCCUGCCUCAUCUCUUAAGCACCCCUCCCUCUCCACAGCAGCUACACUGAGUCGCUGGUGCUUCUCUUGAGCCUGCUCAGGCCUCUGGUCCCAACAGGUGUCCUCCUCUGCCUGGGGCAACUUUCCCCUCUUUGUGGGGUCAACACCUACCUUUCACUUCCUUUCAUGACUCAGCUCAGGUGUCACCUCCUCCAGGAAGCCUUUCACUUAAUGCUGUGACAUGAUUAACCUCACUAAAGCCUGCAAGGUUUGAGCAAAUGGAGGCUCCUCUAAGAGGCAGAGCUGCUUGCCCAGGGGUAAGCUGGAGUGGGGAGUUGGGACUAGGCUCUAAAGCUUUAGAGAAAACCAGCUUUAGGGUUGCUAUUCCCCCUAGCCAGACUGCCUCUUGCUGUCGGCAUUUGUGGGGGACGCUGGAACAAGCCAUCCCAGUCCUGCUUCAGGACUGAGGGACUUAGUCCACAGCUGCUGGGAGGCUGCCCAUCAGCCUUUCCAGGAAUUGCCUUGGCCGAGGGGAGCUUCAUUGCCCAGGGCCAUCUUCUUCCUCAGAGGAUGCCCGUGCCUGUGUGGAAGAGCCUCAUGCGCAGAUAUAAAGGCUUGGUCUCUUGCCCCAACCUGGGACAACUCAGGGCAAUGCCAGCUCCAGAGCUGCCUGUGGCAUCAACUGAGGCCUCCACUGAGGCUGCUUCACAACCCAACUUCUCCCUCCACUCAAUCCCACCUUCAUCCCCCACCCCAACAUGGAGUCCCAGAGUGCUUCCCAGUGACAGUCCCGGAUGCUAAUCUAAAGCAGAGUCUGCUUCCAGGGAGCCCGGCCUGCAGCAGGUUCUUGCUUGGAGGCAUCUGAAUCUUGCUGGAAGGGAUUACAGAGAUGCCCAGAGCCUGCAGGCCAGGCUUGGGUGCUGUGCAGCAGGAAACGCUAUCAGGUCCCUGGGAUGACAUGGGUCAAUGCUCCCUCACUGCUGUGGCUGCUCCUAGGGCCGGAUGCCAGACCCCCGCCACACUGUCCCCAGACCAGUGGAAUACCUUCACAGCACAUGAAGGGUUGAACUUGACCCCAAAUUCAACCUGGUUUAUGGUGUGAGGGAUGGGCUAACCCAGGAAUGAAAGGGGAAGGAUGGCUUGUGUUUGCAAAGGGAGCUUCCUUUGCAAAAAACCAGGCCACUUAUGCCUUACUCCAGAGAAACAGUCUCUUAGAUUAGUUAAUUAAAAAUUCCUGAGGGCAGCAAUCACAGCCGAUUCAAUUCUGUCUCCAGGGUCUGGCACUGGGUUGGGAACUUCGGAACACUCAAUAUUUAUUGAGUGUGUAAAUGAAUGAAAGAAAGUGGCAUUAAAAAAAACCAAACAGGCCCCGGUGUGUGAUGUUCCCCUUCCUGUGUCCAAGUGUUCUCAUUGUUCAAUUCCUACCUAUGAGUGAGAACAUGCAGUGUUUGGUUUUUUGUCCUUGCGAUAGUUUGCUGAGAAUGAUGGUUUCCAGCUUCAUCCAUGUCCCUACAAAGGACAUGAACUCAUCAUUUUUUAUAGCUGCAUGGGGCCUGUUGUGGGGUGAGGAGAGAGGGGAGGAAUAGCAUUAGGAGAUAUACCUAAUGUAAAUGACGAGUUAAUGGGUGCA